rnacentral:rRNA from 1 species
AUUGAACGCUGGCGGCAGGCCUAACACAUGCAAGUCGAGCGAGCGGCGGACGGGUGAGUAAUGUCUGGGAAACUGCCUGAUGGAGGGGGAUAACUACUGGAAACGGUAGCUAAUACCGCAUACCAUCAGAUGUGCCCAGAUGGGAUUAGCUAGUAGGUGGGGUAACGGCUCACCUAGGCGACGAUCCCUAGCUGGUCUGAGAGGAUGACCAGCCACACUGGAACGUAGACACGGUCCAUACUCCGACGGGAGGCAGCAUGGGGGAAUUUUGGACAAUGGGCGCAAGCCUGAUGGAGCCAUGCCGCGUGUAUGAAGAAGGCCUUCGGGUUGUAAAGUACUUGUAGCGGGGAGGCGUUACCCGCAGAAGAAGCACCGGCUAACUCCGUGCCAGCAGCCGCGGGAAUUC